AGCUGAGGCAGGAGAAUCGCUUGAACCUGGGAGGCGGAGGUUGUGAUGAACCGAGAUUGCACCAUUGCACUCCAGCCUGGGCCACAAGAGUGAAACUCCAUCUCAAAAAAAAAAAAAAAAAAAGUUGUAUUAGAAUCUGGCCACACCCCUUUGUGUGUGUAUUACUUAGAAUUGCUUUAGCAACCUCCAUACUAUAACUUCAAAGUGGAGUAGUGGCACAGAGACCAUAUGGCCUGCAGAAUGGAAAAUGUCACCUGUUUGGCCUCUUACCAGAAAAAUUUGCCAACCGCUCAACUAGGGUGUGAUGGAGAAUCCCAAGGUGUCCCUUCCCUCCCAAAGCCACUCAGGGAAUCAUCUGUACCCUUGUGGCCUGCAUUUUAACAAACAUAUACACAAACACAUUUUUUAAAUUUGCUAGAAAUCUUCCCUCCCAUUUUCAAGUGUGGUUAAUCAAUUGACCAAAACCCAGUUUUCUUUCUUUCUUUCUUUCUUUUUUUGAGACUCUGUCACCCAGGCUGGAGUGCAGUGGCGCAAUCUCAGCUCACUGCAGCCUCCGCCUCCCGGGUUCAAGCAGUUCUCCUGCCUCAGCCU
rnacentral:lncRNA from 1 species